rnacentral:piRNA from 1 species
UGAGCCUUCCAGAUGUCUCUGAGAAAGGGA